rnacentral:lncRNA from 1 species
AGCUGACUCCUCGAUAGUUAAAACAAAACAAUAUAUAUAUUCCAAUUUCUAACGAGAGCUUUGGAAGAAUUAAUCAUUUACCACUAAAAAAAAAAAAAAGACAAUUAGGAAAUCUAUUUUCCAAAAAGUCAUGAAUGUUUAAAGGCUAAGCCUAGCUACCAAGCAUUAUCUUAAGUAGUGCUUUCAUAUUUAUCUUCUUGACAUUGUGCUUCUACAAUAUAUUUGAAAAAAAAAUUCUUCCGUUGACUUAAAGAUAUUUUUUUAAAAAUAAUUUUUAUUUAUUAAAUUUUUAAUUGAUAUUAAUGAUGACCACUCAAAUUGGGGUACACCACAUAAAAUUGUUUUAGUUACUUCAUUUACAAAUAUGUAAUAAUUUUAGUAGGUCUUUUUUUUUAAAACUAUUUUCCUCUUAUGAAAAAAUAGGAUGGUAUAAAUCAAUUAAUAUGUUCAUAUUUAGUGUAAUAAUAUUGCUCAUAAGUCUCUUGAUGGAUUAUCCAAAUGUUAAUGAUAUUGAAUACCAUAAAGAAUUUAAGGUCUAUUUGAUAACGACUUUCAAAAACAGUUUUUAAAAAUUGUUCUCUGAUUUUUUAUAGAACAAAAAUCUGUUUUAAAAACCUAAAAUAUUUUAAUUAUGUUUUUAUUUUAAACAUGUUUUUAAAAUAAUUUUUAUAUCUAAUAUUUUAUUUUUAAUCAUAUAAGUUGAAAACAACAUAAAAUAUAAAAUAACUAAAUAUGUUAUUUGAAAAUACCUUGUUUUGAACAUAAAACAUAAAAUAAUUUUUGGUGACAACAUGUUUUCUUGUUUUUUUGUUUUAAAGAACAAAAAAUUAUUUUUCAAAAUAGUUGUCAAACAAACCCUCAUAUUCCUAUUCCUACACUAAUUAUCAAUUAAUUUUUAUAUAAGAUAGUUAAUGACGAAUCUAAGAAUUAAUAGAGAUCAAAACCCGAUAAUUUUAUCUAUACUACUAAGCUAAACACAUAUUUUUAAAUAAUUUCAUUUUUUUAAUCAUAAAAAGAGUAUGACCAACAAUCUUCACUAAAUAAAAAAAUGCUAUUCCUCCCAUGUUUAAAAAUAUAUAUAUAUAUAUAUAUAUAUAUUUUUGACUCAUAAAUAUGUUUUUCAACUAUUAUAAAACAGAAUGAAAUUGCUUUUGACUAGAAUCAUGAAUUGGGAGAUGACUCAAGUCAAUCAAACGCAUGUUUAGGGGUCAAAUAUAGACCAUUUCCAUGGUCAAAAUCAACCUUUUUUUUUCAAAAAAAUAAAAAUCCAUUUUUGAUAAAUUAUAUAAAUCUAUCUUAUAUAUUUUCUCUUUUAAACGUUAUAUCUAUUAGUGUAAAAUAUUUUAAAUAGCGGUGUUUAUAGGGUAAAAGGAGCAUAAAUUUCGUAUUGAUGUAGUAUUUGUUCAUAAGAUUUUAAAAAAAUUUAUUAAAGGCUUGAUGAGUUUUGAAUUUAUUAAGUCUUUUAAUUCUGGUUGGCCCUACUUUUUAAUAUAAAUUGAGAAUUAGUUCACGAGCGUGAGGGUAAUUUUUUUUUUUUUAAAUUUAUCAAUUUUAAGAUAAAUUUGAGGAUAAAAAUACAAAUAAUUUUUCAUAACAUGCUUCUUCUGAGGCUCACGUGCCCAAUACAGGGCUAUAAUUGCCACAAAAAAAAAUAAUACACAAAAUAAUGAUGAUUUGUUAUUCAGAUCCAAUGGCUGAGAUUCCACAUGGGGUUCAUUUGAGUGGUGAAGGACCCACAUCCUCAUCAUCACUCAUGAGGUCCAGCUAGACCAGAUCACCAAAUUCUCUCAGUUGUGGGCCACCCACUCUCAUGUGAGGGAAGUGUAGCACACGGUCCUAAGGAAAGGAGUGGGAUAAUAAUGUGGCAAAGUGCCCAUUUGUCUCCUCAUUAAGUGUGGGUGUUAGUCUAACUACCUUUCUCUUGGGUCCAAGUUGGUGAAAGGCUGCUUUCUUACUUUUUAGGAUUUUUUUAUUUUAAUAAUAAUUAUUUUUAAAUAAAAUUAUUUGUUUAUUUUAUUUAUUAGAACUAUUGAAAUCUAUCCCGACAAUAUCCAUAUCAAAGAUUCUAAUUGUAUAAUAUUUUAUGAUCAUUCAAGAAUCAAGAGAAAAAAAAAUGAAAAUAAUGAAUAAUAAAGGUAGUGAUCCAAAAUAAUAAUUUUUUAGUCAUUAAUUAUUAUUUUUAUGUACAUCUUAUAACUUAUCAAACGUUUGAUAAAAUUUAAUAUUUAUUAUUUAAUAAUUUAAAUUGAUUUUUAAGUUAAAUUAUACUUAAAUUAUUAAUUUAAAUUUAUUAUUUAAUUUUUAUUUUAAUUAUUAAGAUUGUUUCAUAAAUUAAUUUAAAAAUUAUUUUGAAUCAUCAAAUUGAUAUGUUUAUCCUUAUAAAUUAUAACUAAGGUAAAGAUGAUCGAGUAAUAAUAAAUGUUGUGAAGUAGCAAAUGAGUUAUUUAUUAUUUAAAGUUAUUUAUUAUUUAUUAUUUAAAUAAUAAAAAACUAAAACGAAGAUGAAUGUUUAAAAAUAAGUUAUUUAUUAUUUAAAGUUAUUUUUUACUUUAAAUCAUACCAUUAAGUCAUUUUAUUUAAUAUAUAUAAUUUUUUUAAUAACUUAAAUUAAGUUAUUAAAUCACUUUAAGUUAUUAAGUUGGUUUACCAAACACCCCCUUAGUAUUAAUAUCAACAAUGAUAAAACAAAAAAAAUGUAAUAUGCAUAAUAAGAUAUUAUAUUUGUAGAAUAAUUCAUUAGUGAUAAAUAGAUAAAUCCAACUUAAAUUAGUAAAUAAAGUUAAAAUCAUGGAAUUUUAAAAAUUAAUGAUAUGUUUGGUAACAUUUAAAAAAAUAUUUUUUUUAUAAUAAUUUUGAAACAAAAUGAUCCUAAAUUAUUUUCAAGAAUAAAUAUGAAAAACAAUUUUCUUCAUUUAUUCUUAAUAAUGCCAAUAUAAAUGUUUUCAAAAUAUUCUUUUAGUUAUUACUACAUCUUUGCAAAAAUAAAAAAAAUAAAAAUUAAAAAUACAUCAAAAUUAUUUUUUUAAAAAAAUUGGUUUGAGAAAAAAAAAAAUAUUUUAAGACAAAAGUUUGAUAAAUCUAUUUUCAAAAUUAGAUGAUAGUUUUCUAUUCUAAAAAAUAGUUCCAAAUUGUUAGUAUGUUUAGCUAUGAAUUAAAAUGGAUAGGUUGGCAAUACAAAAUGUAUGAAAUGGUUGAAUAGUUUUCAUUUCCAAUUGAAAAUUUGAAACCUAAAUUUAAAAUUAAAGAAAAAAAAUCAUCCAAAGAAGUUGCCAAGCAAAAGGAUCCAAAGUGCAGUAAAGACCACGCUCUUGUUCAUGUCCCAAAAGUAUGAACACAAACAAUCAUAACCCACCUCAUAUUUUCCCAAUUUUCUCAGCACAUCACCAUCCUCCUAACCCAAUAAUGAUCCCAUAACAACAAUAACAAAACCCCACAAAAAAUCAAACUCAGUUUCAUAUAUAUAUAUAUAUAUAUAUAUAUAUUUAUCAGUUUGUUUGUACAAUACACAUGUAAACACAAAUACAAAUAAGUCUUCCCAUUGAAGUAAAGUUUGGUUGAAGUUGGAGGCAUAUUGAGUAGGAAAGUGGCCAACCUCCCCCCCCCUCUCUCUCUCCCUCUCUCUCUCUCUCUCUCUCAUCAUCAUCAUCAUACCGAAAGAAAAGAAAAUUAUAUAUCCCACAAAAGGUGCAAGGUGGGAAAGAAAGUGAAAAUUCUUGAGGAGAACCAUAUUCAAAGUAAAGGGAAAGAUAUAAGCCAAAAAACAAGAACAUAUAGCUUAAAGUUUAUAGGAAGGAAGAGAAGGGUUGGCUCAUCUUCAUCUCUCCUCCCCCUGCCCCUCUUCUUUUGGUUGCUUCAGCCUUUUCUGAAAGUGGGUUUUCAAGGGUUUCAACAGUUUUGCCUUCACAAGGUACAAAAAUUAGGGGUGAUCUCUUUUGGGUUUUUGCUAAUUCUGAUUUUUGGUGGAAAUGAUUACUGUAAUUUUCCAAAAGGUGAAGUCUCUUUUCUCUUUUCUGUUGUUGCAGGGGUGAGAAGUUGUGUUGAUAUGCUUGGUGGGUUCAGGUAAUUCUCCAUUUUUUUUCUUUUCUUUGGUAAAUUUCCUUUUGUUCUUGGGGCAGAUGCUGGAUUCAGCAGCUAGAAUUGUGAGUUUUGUGUGGAAGAAAGUUACUGUUUCUGUGAUAUUUCCUGGGUAUUUUGGCUCAAAAUUCCACCUUUUUUUAGAAGGAAACUUUGGGAUUUGUAAAAUAAAUUCAGUUUAUUAUCUUCUGAAGAAAGCUUCAAAGGUGUCUGUGUUCUGUUUUUGGAUUUAAAAAUCAAGUAUGAAGCUCAAGUUUCUUCACACUCCUCCGUAUAAAUAUAAUAUAGUAUGUAUAGGGAACUUGUUUUUUGUUUCCUCUAUAUUUAUAACUUUGGUGGAUAACCUAGACUAGAGGUGUGGCCUUGAUUCCAAAAAACCCCUGGUGUGUGAUUUUUCGGGUCAUUGGAUAAUUUUUCGGGUUUUUGAUAAUUAAUCCUAUAACCGAGAACCGAAUCAAGAAAAAUACAAAAGGGUCUAGAUAUUGAGGCAAUCGCAGAACAAAAGGGUGUAGAUGGACAAUCCAUCAAAUUAUUCUUUUCGGGUAAUAUUUGAGUUGAUAAAUAACCUAGACUAUAGGUGUGGCCUUGAUUCCAAAAAAGAGAAAAGAAAAAAUCCAGUAAGCCUUGAUGUGCGAUUUUCGGGUUUUCAAUGAAUUCGAAAAAACAAAUCAAAAACAAUACAAAAGGGUCUAGAUAUUGAGAUGAUCACAAAACAAAAGGAUUUUAGAUAUUGAGACAACUCAUUUCAUUAUUCUUUUAGUACAACACUUGAGUUGGUGAAUAUCCUAUAGACUAGAGGUGUGGCCUUGAUUCUGGGAAAAAAACCCAUUAUGCUUUGUUGUGUGAUUUUUCAGCCUUUUGAUUAACCCGAAAACCAAAUCAAGAACUAUAUGAAAGGGUCUUAGAUAUUGAGGCAAUUCAUCUCUUUAUUCUUAUAGUAUGAUACUUGAUCUGGUCAAUAACCUAGACUAGAGCUGUGGCCUUGAUUCCCAACAUCCUUGUGAGCUUUGUUGCAUGGUUUUGUGGGUUUUCGAUCAAGCUGGAAAUGUUCAAUCCAAAAAGGUCCAGAUAUUGAGAUGAUCACAAUAAAAAAGGGUCUAGAUACCGAGACAGUUUAUCUCAUUAUUCUUUUAGUAUAAUAAUGAAGUAGAGCUUCGUGUCAGGAAAAGUUGAGAAAGAUUUUUGUACGAUUUCUGAUAUUAGUCAAUUUUCUGUUUUUGUAGUUGGGUCUGAGGAUUCUUAUUUGUUUAAUCUGUUUUCAGGUUUUCCACGGUGCGAUGGUAAAGCCCAGAACAUGGGAAAGAAAGGGAGUUGGUUUUCUGCAAUCAAGAGGGUUUUCAUACCCAACUCCAAAGAGAAACUAGUCAAUGUAAGUAGAUAGAUUAUCCAUGGUGUUUAGACACUUUUUUUGGGUUCCAACCUCCAAAAUCCCUGGUUUAGCUUCCUCCAGAAUGCUGGAAAUGCCUCCAUGCUCGAAAAAUUAUGAAACAGGACUUGUAAUAAGUCAUUUGAUUUUGGAAUUAUUAUGAAUUGUUGUAGGGAACAGAGAGGAAAAAUGCGAAAGAGAAGAAAAAGAAAGGGCGAGAUACACAUUCUUUUAUUCCGCUCUUCAGAGAGCCAAGUAGUAUUGAAAAAAUAUUAGGGGAUGCUGAAAGAGAGCAGCAAAAUAAGAUAUUUCUUAGGCCUCCAACGCCUUCUGAGACACCAAAAGUACCAACUCCUGUGCCUCCUAGAGUUUCCUCUCCGAGGGUAACUUCUCCAAGGGCUGCUGCUUCACCGAGGGCUGCUGCUUCACCGAGGGCUGUUGCAUCACCGAGGGCUGUUGCAUCACCGAGGGCUGCUGCUUCACCAAGGGCUGCGUCUCCUCGGGCUUUUCAUCAUCACAAGGAAGUCAGCUACAGACCCGAACCAACUCUCAGGAAUCACCAUAUUGCAGCUAUCAGGAUCCAGACAGCAUACAGAGGUUAUAUGGUAAGCUUCCACUCUUUCUUGUUUGUUGGAGAAAUUCAAGCAAAUCAUCCCCAUGGAAGUUGGGCUUUGAUUUUUAUACUCCUGUUGUAGAAUAAUGGCAAAUCAAACAGGAAAGCUUUACAACAUGGGAAUAUAACACAACUCAAAUUUAAUUAUUUUUUGAGUAAUUGAAAUGAUUCUAAUUUAAGCUGAAUUUUGCCAGAUGAUCUUACCAUGAAAUGAUUCACUGAUGUGAUUUUUUCAAUGUAGGCAAGGAGGAGCUUCAGAGCACUCAGGGGUCUGGUGAGGCUACAGGGAGUCGUGAGAGGCCAGAAUGUGAAGCGCCAGACAACAAAUGCAAUGAAAUGCAUGCAGCUGUUAGUGCGGGUUCAGUCACAGAUUCAGUCCCGGAGGAUCCAGAUGUUAGAAAACCAGGCACUCCAACGUCAAUCUCAAUACAAAAAUGACAAGGAACUGGAGAGCAGCAUAGGCAAAUGGGCCUCAAGCCAGCCAGUAAGUUUCCCUUUGUUUGAUUUAGUGUUGGAUUGUUUUUCAUUAUUAGAAGAGCACAUGCUUAAGGAUCAUUUGAUCGCUAUAGUCAAAGGGAAGACACUCAUCUACAUGAAAUCAUGCUUGUUUUUCGAUUUUGUUCUGUGUUUCAAUUAAGAUUAGUACAAUUGAUGAUGGGAUGGCAUUUGUACAGUCUGAGGCAGGUAACAAUGAAGACUGGGAUGAUAGCCAGCUGACGAAAGAGCAAAUAGAAGCUAGGUUGCAGAAAAAGGUGGAGGCAGUCAUCAAGAGAGAAAGAGCCAUGGCCUAUGCAUAUUCCCACCAGGUACUACUCUAUUAAUAUUAUUGGACAAUCAAUUUUUCGACAAGUUUAGGUUUUUACAAUUGGGGCAUACAAUGUAAAUAACAUUUUCUAACACCCUCCCUCACAUGCGGUCUCAUGCUUGCAUGUGGAGAAACAAAUAGUCCAAUAGGCAAAGAGCUCAAUAAAUUCAGGGAAAUAAAAGUUGCUGUGAAGUUUGAGUCUAUGACCUUUCUUUAAAGGGGGUUCUAAUACUGUAUCCGGUAACCAAUUUUCCCACAAGUUUAAGCUUUAAGGUUCAAGUCAUAAUGUAUAUCAUUCUUUCUAAUAGAUGCUACCCAGUUCAUAUUUUAUUUUAUCAUGUCGGAUAGGCUUCACUAACCCGAAUGACUUUUAGGCCUGGACAUUAGGAUACUGUUUAUCCAAUCAAGUAAAAUUUUAGUUCUGGUUGCCCUUUUCCAGUUCUUACACAGAAUAGAUUCCUGCACUCUCUAUACCUUUUCAAUUAUCUGAUAUCGUUUUAUGAUUUCACUAACCUGUGUUGACAGUUGUGGAAAGCCACCCCUAAAUCAGCUCAAGCAUCUAUAAUGGAUAUCCGAUCUGGGGGAUUCCCAUGGUGGUGGAACUGGUUAGAACGUCAGCUCCCUCCGGCAAAUCCUCCUGAAAGUCAAGCCACCAAGAGCAUCCUACUAACACCCACAAGACCGACUCCAGAUCUCAGGCCAAGUCCUCGACCCCAAGCAAGCAACUACAGGCAACAGAGUUUCGGGUUUGACAAUCUUGAGUCACUCACACCAAAGUCCUCAAAAUCAGCAGUACCUGCAAGAGCAAAGACCCCUCCAAAUAGAGUGCCACAAGCGAACGGCUCAAAUCUAUCAAGAUAUCCAAAGCCGAGAGCUAGUGCAGCUGAUUCUACCUUUGAUGUGCCACUGAGAGAUGAUGAUAGCCUCACCAGUUGCCCGCCAUUUUCAGUUCCAAACUACAUGACUCCAACAGUGUCAGCUAAAGCCAAAGUGAGAGCUAACAGCAACCCCAAGGAGAGGUAUCCAGUGACUCCCAGUGCUGAAUCAAAGAGGCGGCUUUCGUUCCCUUUGGGUCAAGGCAUUGGGUCUUUCAAGUGGAACAAAGGCACCUUGUUCUCUAGCAAGGAUUCCACCUCUCAGAGGGUGAUAGAGAGGCACCAGUCUCUGCAAUCUACUGGGAAUUUGAGUGUGGAUUCGACCGUUUCUUUGCCAGCUACAGUUGGGAGGAAGCCAUUUAACCGAUUUGUGUGAUCUCUUUACCCUUUUCUUUUGUUUUCUCAACCUUCUAAAUUUCAUAUUUGGCGAGUCUUUUCUUUUUUUCUUCAUAUUGUUAAUUGAGUGUAUGGUGAUAUCUUUACAAAUUACUGAUGUAUAAUAAUAAAGAUACAGUACUAGGAAUUGAUGGUUUGAAUGUAAGAUGAUUUGGGUUUUCAGAAGAUAUCUUGUUACAUUUCCUUUUGGAUUUCGAUAGCCUAAAAAGCAGGCCUUAUUUUCUGUUUGGUUGUUGAGAAAGUAGAGGAAAAAAACAUUGUGGUGUUUGGGACUCUAUUGAGGAGAGGUUUAAAAGGAAAUUAUCUGUAGAAAAAACACUACCUUUCCAAAGGAGGAAGACUUGUCCUUUUAAAGAGCAUUAUUUCAAAUCUCCCUGUUUAUUUUAUGUCCCUCUUUGUUAUUCCUAGAAAAGUGAGAAUUGGAUUAGAGAGAAUUCAAAGAGACUUUUUAUAGGGAGAUUUGAGAGAUAGGAGCAAGAUCUACUUGGUAAAAUGGUUAGAGUUAUUCCUAGAAAAGUGAGAAUUAUAUUAGAGAGAAUUCAAAGAGACUUUUUAUGGGGAGAUAGGAGCAAGAUCUACUUGGUAAAAUGGUCAGAUGUUUGUAAGGUUAAAAUUUUUUGGAGGUUUGGGGAUAAGAAGACUAUAUAGUCUCAAUCAAGCUUUGUUAGGCAAAUGACUAUGGAGAUUCUCUGUUGAGUGUGAAAGUUUGUGGAGGAAGAUCAUUUGUGGAAAGUUCGGGGAGGUGGAGGGGGGUUGGACUACUAGAUUGUGGAGGGAGUCCUUUGGGAAGACAUUAGAAAAGAGUGGGAAGAGUUUAUUGCUAGAACUUCUAUCUAUAUAGGAAAUGGUAGUCAUACAAGCUUUUGGUGGGACACGUGGGUGGGGGACUUCAAGCUAAAAGAUGUUUACCUUACUAUUUUUAGGAUAACUUCCCAUAAAAAUGCUAUAGUUGCAAAAUCUUGGAAAAGAGAAGGGGAUGAAGGGGGUGUUGGGAGGUUCAUUUUAGAAGACCCUUCCAAGAUUGGGAGGUAGAGGAGGUGACCCACUUUUAGGGUUCUCUUGACUUGUUAAAAGUACAAGAAGGUGAGGACACUUUAUGUUGGAAAGAAGAUGUUAAGUCUUAUUAUUGUUCUCUAAGUGGGGAGAAUAAUUUUGUUUUUCCGGGGAAGGAGGUUUGGGGAUCCCAUGCUCCUCUCAGAACUUGCUUUUUUGCUUUGGAAGCUAUUUGGGGGAAGAUCCUAAUUAUAGAUACCUUAAUGAAAAGGGGAUGACAAAUAGUCAAUAAAUGUAAUCUAUGUAAAGAGAGUGAAGAAUUAGUCAAUCACAUUCUGAUUCAUUUCGUCAAGACAAGAAAGCUUUGAACCUUUUUAUUAGCCUUCUUUGGAGUGACAUGGGUAUUUCCAAAUUCAGUAAUAAAUCUCCUUCUUCAAUGGAAAGUUAAGGGGUUGCAAAAGAAGAUUAGAGCAUUGUGGCGCUUAGCUCCCAUUUGUUUAUUUUGAUGUGUUUGGAAAGAGCAUAAUCGAAGAACCUUCAAAGAUGAAUAUCUCUUUGACCAGGGUUUAAAGGAUCUCUUCUUUCGAAUUCUUUUUGAGUGGACUAGGGAUUCUUUGGAGCUGAAUUUCCCCUCUAUGUUGAUUUUCCUUGAUACUCUUUUUUGUGGUUAACUUUGCUGUGUUUUGUUUGUGGUCUUUCUUUGGUUGAGGUGUGUUUGGCUUGUUUCUGUGUAUACAACCUAUAUACGUAAGGCGCCCCCAACUCUUUUUUGGUGCUUAUUAAUGCAUGCUCUUGUUGUCUACAAAAAAAAAAAAAAAAAAAAGGAAAGUUCAGAAAAAAAGGUCAAUAUUUUCACUAUUGAAUUUGUUGUUCUUUUGGCUUAUACUCAUAAAACAAUGCCAAAAUAAUGCAGAAAGACCUCCUGUGAUGAACUUGUCUAAUUUUGGCGUGUCUCCUUUUUCUUCUGAGUUGUCUUACAGAGAAAAAUAUUAUGAAUCAUGGAAGUAGCACCUUCUGAGUUGUCUUAUAAAGAAAAAUAUUAUGAAUCAUGGAAGUAGCAGCUAGGGCAACUUAAAGCAUGCAUUGUUCGCAAAUUGACAAACAAUUUAUCUCAAUUUAUUUUAGGCUAGAAUUUCAACACCCCAUUACACAUUCACCCUCUUCUCAACCAUCUCCGCGUGGUUGUUGUUGAUAGCGAAAUUCCUUCACUGCAGUAGCAAGUACUAGCAACAGAAUCUCGAUCAACGCAUUACAGUGAUCCUUCCUUCCUCCUGCAAAAAGAUGUCCGGAUGGGUUGUCCGGACACACUCUCCGAUGAUUAAGUUAGUCUUUUGGAAGCUAUUUGAAAACAAAUUGUUCCUUUGGGAGUGUUGCUCCGUGAUUUUCUUCAAGGAUCCUUACCCUCCUGAGAGUCUCCUUAGAGUUUAUAUAUGAUUCAGAGAGUAUGGCCUCGCUGUGCUAACGGGUCCCAUCGUCAUGAUUGCGGCUCAUAGGGUGGUGAAGCAAUCAUGACCCUUUUGGUGCGAGGUGGCGGCUGUCAGAAGGGUAUUCAGGCGGCGGUGGUCACCUCAAUUUAUGAUUUUAGGUACCGGGGAUGCGUCAGGCAAUCUGAGAAGAUUUGGGAAUGUCUUGUCGAGCGUAUCUCGUAUUGAAGAUGAGUGAUAGUUCAGGAGACUUGGUCGACAGUAUUGUUGGAGUUUGCUUCUUGAUUGUGGGCAGAAAUGGAUCCGGCAAAUCAUGAGUGUUUGACGAGUCAAGUUGUCCAGGGAAUCUGAAUCGUUGACUGCGGAUGUACUCCGGGUAAGCGUUACCAAAGGAUCCGGACAUGUCUAACCGGGGAAGUUGAAUCGCACUUCUCUCCCAUCCGGUGGCAGGCGCCGACUAUGAUAUAUCCGGAGAUGGUGGAACGUCGGCCGUACAGAAUUUCCCUCCGGGUGGAAUGAGCGAUGCUACGUGUCGCAAGGGGGGCCGUCUGCGUGUCCAAGGGAUAGGGAGCCACGUGGCACUUUUUGGGGAGGAUCUCACAGUUGUGAGGAAAAUGAAGCUUUGGUACCAUGUUAAAUUGUUACUUGACCUAAAAACUUAGAUUAUUAGAUAAUAAGCCAAGAAUAUAUAUCAAAUUGGCUGAGGUGAAAACCUUAACAGCCGUUUUUGGAAUCCUUAGACAUGGCUAAUGAGCUUUUAGAUGGAUGUACCAAGUGGUCAUUCUUAAGUCAUGCUAUCAAUUGAUGGAUCGUAGUUGAGCAGUGUUAGGUGAUUAUUAUCAUAAAUGUAUGGUUGAGCAGUCACAGAUUAGCAAUUGAAAAGAAAGAUUUUCCAGGACUGAGCUGAAUUCAGAGAAGAAAAUAUACAUAGAAUUUGAUUGAAACGUCUACAAACAAGCAAGUUGAGAAGUACAUUAUUACCGAAGUAUCUCUGCUGUCUAUCAGCUACCAACUUGUCAUUCUACUGUGGUAAUCCCUCUAUCUUGAACUGAUGAAUGCUCCUAGGGAAAGACAUGUAUCACAUUGAACUUUCGAUUAAGGUAGCAACAAGGAAGCAUAAGCUAGCAUAAUAGCCUUUCAAGGGUUUUUAUCUAAAGAACAACUUGCUCUUAUGAGGGUUUUCUCCUCCAAGUUGCCUUUCCAUAUGUCUAAAUCCACCCAAGGGGUCUUUUUCACUAGUUAAUGAGUUUACUACAGUCUGAUUGAAUCCCAUGAACAUGCAAUUCUAUAUAUAAGGACUAUCUAAAUAUGUUUAGCAUUCAAGCCUCUUGUCCAGACUAGAAGGUCAGAAAAUGGCUCUCGAUUUGAAUCCCUUGCUUUCUUUUACUUUCCUGCAAAUGGGUUAUCAUACAUCUCCCAAAUUCUCCAUGGCCUCAACGCACCGCUCUGUAUUCAGGUGACUGUGUUCUUCACUUCUUACAAAAGUUUACAGAAUGUUCAUACCAUUUAGUAGAAAAUGACAAGUACCUAUGUUCAUCGUUUCAUCCUAACCAGUGUCUAACCCUUGUAAAAAGACGGAUUUGAAUUGUCAGUACCAAAUCCAAAUUUCUUCUGUUUAAUGCAGGGAGGUUAAGAAUCCAAACAAGCCUUUAGCUCUCCUCACAAGGUGCAAGUAACCCACUCAAUGCCACCACACAAGAUUGAGAUUUUCAAAUCCAUGGAGAAUUGGGUUGAGGAGAACGUUUUAAUUCACCUGAAGCCAGUUGAGAAAUGUUGGCAACCUCAGGACCUUCUGCCUGAUCCUGCAUCUGAUGGAUUUCAUGAGCGAGUCAAGGAGCUACAGGGACCCCGGAUGACUACUUUGUUGUUUUGGUUGGAGAUAUGAUCACUGAAGAAGCCCUUCCAACUUACCAAGCACAGAUCAAUAUCACUGAUGGAAUUCGUGAUGAAACAGGGGCAAGCCCCAGCUCAUGGGCAACUUGGACAAGGGCAUGGACCGCUGAAGAGAACAGGGACGGUGACCUUCUUAAUAAGUAUCUCUAUCUGUCUGGAAGAGUAGACAUGAAACAAAUCGAGAAGACGAUUCAGUAUUUGAUUGGGGCUGGAAUGGUGAGAUUCUUGCUACAUGCCCUUUUUUUUUUUUUUUUCUGUAGUCAGUCACAAUCUUCACUAGUUCUUGAACUCAAGUUCUUCUUCUCCAUCUUUUCAUAGGAUGUGCAGAUGGAAAACAAUCCGUACCUUUUAUUCAUCUAUACUUCAUUUCAAGAAAGGGCAACCUUCAUAUCCCAUGGCAAUACUGCCAGGCUCGCCAAUCAACAUGGGGACAAGAGCUUGGCUCAAAUAUGUGGCAUAAUAGCCUCAGAUGAGAAGCGCCAUGAAACUGCCUACACCAAGAUAGUGGAAAAGCUCUUUGAGAUUGAUCCCAAUGGAACUGUUUUGGCUUUUGCAGACAGGAUGAGGAAAAAAAUCACCAUGCCGGGCCUCUUGAUGUAUGAUGGCUGUGAUGACGACCUUUUUGAACACUUCUCAGCAGUUGCUCAGAGGCUUGGUGUGUAUACUGCCAAGGACUAUGUCGAUAUCUUAGAAUUCUUUGUGGAGAGAUGGAAUGUGGAAAAGCUAACUAGGCUUUCUAGUGAGGGGCGAAAAGCUCAGGAUUAUGUUUGUGGUUUAGCUAAAAGAUUGAGAAAGCUGGAGGAGAGAGCUCAAGAAAAGGCUCAGCAAGCACCCACCAUUCCUUUCAGUUGGAUCUUUGAUAGAGAAGUGAAACUCUGAGUGCAAAAUUGAAGAAAAAGACUUUGGUUCCUUUUAUUUUUAGUUAUCUUUUUUCCUCCACUUGGAAGAUAUUUGAGAUUUUUUUUUUAAAUUCUCUUUGGUCUAUAAUUGGAAAUAUUAAUUUUAUUUGCAAAAUUAAAUUUUAUAGUCUUUCAAAUUUCACUAUGUAUCACAUUUUGAAUAUAUACUAGACGUCAAAUGUGUGUGACUUACUACUUGUCGAGCUCAAAUUUUAUUGAAUUGAGAAGUCAUAAUUUUGAAGAUUAAUUUAGUGAUAAUUCAAUUCACUAAUUUUUUUUUUUGAUGUUUAUAGCAACCAAAAAAUUGUUUUUUUUUUUUUUGUGUUCUUAAAAAUAGAAAAUAGGGUGUUUUCAAAAAACACCUUUUAGUUCUUUUAAGUUGUUUUCACUUAUUUUGUAAAUUUUUUUUUAAAAAUAAUUAUACAAAUAUGAAGAAUGAUUAAAAAUAAAACCUUAUAUAUAAUUUUUUUAAAACAUAUAUAUAAUUUUUUUAAAACAUAUUUAAAAAUAUUUAAAACAUAUUAAAAACAUUUUAAAUUUCCAAGCACAUUUUGUUUUAUAAAAUAUUAAAAAAUAGUUUUCAAAAACUGUUUUUGAAAAUAAUUAUCAAAUGAACCCUUAAUUUCUUUUAAAUUGAUUUAAGAAAACAGUAUAUAUAUAUAUAUAUAUAUAUAAGUAAAACAUGAGAAAUGUUAAAUUCAUAAAUUUGAAGAUUAUUUUAUCCCCUUUAACUAAUUAAUUCUUAGAAAGAAAAAACUCAUUUAAACUUGCUUAGACUGACUUUUGAAAAACCAUUUUUUUUUUAUAAAAAAAUUCAAUAAAAGCUUGUAAAUUUGUUUGGCAAAUUUGGUCUAAAAAUUUUAUGAUUUUAAAAAAAGUUUAAUAUAAAAAGGUAAAAAAUAUUGCUUUUUAUAGAAGUUAUGUUUUAUCUAAUACAAAAAAAAAAAAAGUUUAAUAAAGCUUUUACAAUAUCAACAUCGUCAUUUUAAAAAACUUUGAUGAUGUUCUUUUAUAAACUAUUACAUAAAAUAAAAAUAUUUCUAAAAUAACAUUUUGAGUGAUUUUUUUUAUAUUUUUAAAAGUUUUUCAAACAUCUAAUUUUGUGAAGUGUUUUCAAAUAUUCAAAAGCACUUUUAACUUUAUUAAAACCACUCUAAAAUGAACUCUUGGAAUUAAAAUUGAUUUUGAGAGGAUUAGAAGUGUUUCAAUGAUGAUGGUAGCAAUGUUGUAUAUUCUAUAAAGUUUAUUUGAUGGUGAUUUUAGAGUGUUAGAAGCAUUUUUUAUUAUUUGAAAAUACUUACUUAUAGAAACUAGAUGUUUGACAAACUUAAAAAUGUUUAAAAAAAAUUAUUUUCUUAUGUUUAAUUUAUUAUGAAAAAUAUGAAAAAAAAAUCAAUUAAAAACUUAUGCCUUUCAAAUUGUUUUCUAGAGUAUUUAAGGAAUAAUUGAGAAUAAUGGAAAAUACUUUGAAAAGAAGAAAAAUAUUUUUAAGCAGUAGCAGUAGCAGAUUAGCAAUUAAAAAGAAGGAUUUUCCAGGACUGAGCUGAAUUCAGAGAAGAAAGUAUGCAUAGAAUUUGAUUAAAACGUCUAUGAACAAGCAAGAUGAGAGGUACAUCAUUACAGUACUAUCUCUGCUGUCUGUCAGCUAUCGACUCGGCUUUGUACAGUGGUGAUCCCUCCAUCUUGAGAUGAAAUCACCAACACUUCCAUUAGGCCUUCACAAGGGAGUUUGCACAUCCUAGUUGCUACUUAGUAUACUGAGUGAAUGACAGAUCCCUUGGGGGACCGAAUAAACUCCUUAGUAAUAAAGUCUAAGGCAUCUUAAUGAACUGAUGAAUGCUCCAAGGGAAAGACGUGUAUCCCAGUGAGCUUUGGCUUUAUCUAGACACUACUUGUUCUUAUGAGGGUUUUCUCCUCCACGUUGCUUUUCCAUAUGUCUAAAUCCACCCAAGGGGUCUUCUUCACUAGUUAAUGAGUUUACUUCAGUCUCAUUGAAUCCCAAGAACAUCCAUUUCUAUAUAUAAGGACUAUCUAUAUAUAUUUAGCAUCCAAGUCUCUCUUCCAGAGUACAAGUGAAGUCAGAAAAUGGUUCUCAAUUUGAAUCCCUUGCUUUCUCUUACUUUCCUGCAAAUGGGUUUUCAUUCAUCUCUCAAAUUCUCCAUGGUCCCCAUGCACCGCUCUGUGUCCAGGUGAGUGUGUUCUUCACUUACAGAAGUUUACGGAAUGUUCAUACCAUUUAGAAGAAAAUGACAAGUGCCUAUGUUCAUUGUUUCAUCCUAACCAGUGUCUAACCAGACGGAUCCAAAUUGUAAGUACCUAAUCUGAAUUUCUUCUGUUUAAUGUAGGGAGGUUAAGAAUACAAAGAAGACUUCUGGCUCUCCUCACAAGGUGCAAGUAACCCACUCAAUGCCACCGGCCCACCACACAAGAUUGAGAUUUUCAAAUCCAUGGAGAAUUGGGUUGAGGAGAACGUUUUAAUUCACCUGAAGCCAGUUGAGAAAUGUUGGCAACCUCAGGAUUUUCUGCCCGAUCCUGCUUCUGAUGGAUUUCAUGAGAGAGUUGAGGAGGUAAAGGAGAGGGCAAAGGGGAUCCCGGAUGGCUACUUUGUCAUUUUGGUUGGAGAUAUGAUCACUGAAGAAGCCCUUCCAACUUACCAAACACAGAUCAAUAUCACUGAUGGAAUUCGGGAUAAAACAGGGGCAAGCCCCAGCUCUUGGGCAACUUGGACAAGGGCAUGGACCGCUGAAGAGAACAGGCACGGUGACCUUCUUAGUAUCUCUAUCUGUCUGGAAGAGUAGACAUGAAACACAUCGAGAAGACGAUCCAGUAUUUGAUUGGGGCUGGAAUGGUGAGAUUCUUGCUGCAUACUUUUUUACUGUUUUAUCUCCAAAACCACAAUGUAGUGACUGCUUUUGGUAUCUCUAUCAGUCACAAUCUUCACUAGUUCUUGAACUCAAGUUCUUUUUCUCCAUCUUUUCAUAGGAUGGGCAGAUCGAAAACAAUCUGUACCUUUUAUUCAUCUAUACUUCAUUUCAAGAAAGGGCAACCUUCAUAUCCCAUGGCAACACUGCCAGGCUCACUAAGCAACAUGGGGACAAGAACUUGGCUCUAGUAUGUGGCAUAAUAGCCUCAGAUGAGAAGCACCAUGAAACUGCCUACACCAAGAUAGUGGAAAAUCUCUUUGAGAUUGAUCCCAAUGGAACUGUUUUGGCUUUUGCAGACAGCAUGAGGAAGAAAAUCACCAUGCCGGGCCUCUUGAUGUAUGAUGGCUGUGAUGACGACCUUUUUGAACACUUCUUAGCAGUUGCUCAGUGGCUUGGUGUGUAUGCUGCUAAGGACUAUGUUGAUAUCUUAGAAUUCUUUGUGGAGAGGUGGAGUGUGGAAAAGCUAACUGGGCUUUCUAGUGAGGGGCAAAAGCUCGGGAUUAUGUUUGUGGGUUAGCUUAAAGAUUGAGAAAGCUGGAGGAGAGAGCUCAAGAAAAGGCUAAGCAAGCACCCACCAUUCCUUUCAGUUGGAUUUUUGAUAGAGAAGUGAAGCUCUAAGGGCAAAAUGGAGUCACUAUAUGUAGUUUCUAGGUCGUGUUCUCAAAGAUUUAUCCAGUAAUAUACAAGUGUAAGGCAUCUAUGUUUCUCUAUCUCAAUUUCAAUAAUCACGAUCUCAUCUCAUUUCACUUCUUAGAAUGCUACAAACUCGAGCAGUGCCAUUUUUUUUUCUUUCACUAUAGGACAUUGGUAAAAGCAUCCUUAGCAAAAAGGAAAUGAUAGGACACUAUACAUCUAACAACCCUUUUUAAACUGGUUUUGCUGGUUUUAUUUUGGGUAUUUUUGAAUAAGCCCAAGUUUGGCAAUUGUUGCUUGAUUUUGUUCUGUGAUUUUUGCUUUCCUUUUAUUUUUUGCUGAGUCAAUGACUCUUAGGUAUAAAGGGACUGAUUCUUUUGCAAGGGAUUAUGAGAAGAUCAUCCAAUAAAAAGUUCUAUUUUUUUAGUCAAUAUGUCUUCUUCUUCCUAGCUGUUUCAUUGGUUUCAAAACGACAACCAGGCACCAAGUAAUGGUGGAUGGUAUCAAAGCUCUGACGAUUGUUGAUCUGAGGUCUCCUUCAAUCACUUUACAGAAUCCUCUAGUUCCAUCUGCCAUUACUUGAUACCAGGUUGUAGCUCUGAUACCAAUGAAACAGCCAGGAAAAAGAAGACACAAAAUUGACUAGAAAAAUGGAACUUUUUAUUGGAUAAUCUUCUCAUAAUCCCUACCAAAAGAACCAGCCCCUUUAUACAUAAGAGUCAUUGCAAAAAUCUGGGAAUAAAAUCAAGCAACAAUUACCAAACUUGGCCUAUCUAAAAAUACCCAAAAUAAAACCAGUAACCCCAAUUUAAAAUGGGUCUUUACAGUACAUAUUCCAAUCUAGGAAGCGGCUUAGAGAGCUCAGCACGUGGGUGGUAGUGGAGAAGGAAAUUAUGGCUCCUUAAUAAAUGCAAAUGUAGCCCCAGGGAAUGAGCCAAAAUUUUUCUCUAAAAGUUUUCUGUUCAUAAUUUAGAGCCGCUCUGCUCCGACCCAAAGAAGGGUCGAUUCGGUAAUAGGAAAAGCAAAGACGAUAGCGAGUGACCUACAGCAUUCGUAGAUAGGACUUCGCCAAAAUUUUCCUCUGAAAGUUUUCUGAUCAUAAUUUACUUCUCAGUGCCUGAACCCUUCUGCAGUAUCUUUUCUAAUUAAUGAAUUUCUUGAAAUGGGGCAGUUUCAUCGAAUGUCAUCAAUUUCUAUAUCCAUGUAUAUGUAGCAUCUAAGUAGCAAACUGAACCUAAGAAAAAGCAGAGGAAGUGAAAGUCCAGAAAUGAAUUUCAACCUAAACCCCCUUACCUUUCAACCCGGGAAGUUUCCUUCUCUUUCUCUCCGUCCCAGAUCUUCCAAUGUCUCCAUCGCUUCCACCAUCACCUCUGGUUCCGAGUGAGUGUCUUUCGUCGAAAUGUUCCUUUAAAAAUUCAUUUGAUUCUCAAAAUAUUCUAUGAGUGGAUAGAUCUUACCGAUGUUCAUUGAAAACAGGAGGAAGCAAAGGCCAAAAGUAUGCAUCAUUUUUAAGGCACAACCAACAUGAAUAGCAGCCAAACAGCCCAAUUGACCACAUGAAUCUUUUUUUUUUUUUUUUUUCUUUUUCUUUUUCCGGUUUCCUAUACUUUCUCGGCAACCAAACGGGUUGGGAGAAUAGGGGAAAGUGAAGGCAGCAACUUGUUCGCUGAUUUGUACAAGGCCAACCUUCAAUGCAAGUAAUUGCGUCAUUCGAUGAUAAUCAACGCUCUCGCUCUGAUAAUUGGCUACGGCAACCCUAUGAUUGGUUUCCAAGAAAAUGAUAGAAAAACAAACACACAGAAUCUGAGACUAAUGCUUGGGAGACGAUCCAAAAAAGUCAAAACAAUCAUACUGCACUUUAGAUGGUGGUCUGUGAAUUGGGCCGUAGGUAUGACAGUGGGCUAGGCCCAACUAUAACGGAAAACUUUUUUUUUCUUUUAAAAAUUCAAAUAUAAAAAAUGAUUUUCUUUGCUUAUUCUACAGAAGGGAGUAAACAAAAAUUCCCGACCUAGUAUCCAUAAAUAUAUAUUACAAGUAAGGGUCUCCAACGGGCGGGCCGGGCCGCAGGCUUUUUUAAAUAAGCCAAAAUGACUUUUAAAUAAAGGAAGGGAGAGGGGGGGAUUCGAACCCCUCCCCUUAAGCUUAAAUUUUAAGGCUUCAACCAACUGAGCAACAUUCUUUUUGUACUUAUUAAAUGAGUUAGUUAUAUAUAUAUAAAAAUAAAGUAUAUUAUUUUUUUAAAAAAAAUUAAAGGCUCCAUGUGAGUCAUGUGACCGUUGGGGCUAAGCCUCCAACGGUCACAUGACCAAUUUUUUUUUUUUUUAACCUUCCUAUAAAUACAUUUUCUUCCUUUUCAUUUUUUCAUCAAAUUCUCUCUAUUUCUCUCUCUAUUUCUCUCUCUAUUUCUCUCACAUUCUACAAUAUUUCAAAUUCUUUUAUUUUUCCCUCAAAUUAUACAAUAUUGUUGGUGGUGCAAAACAAGUAUUGGUGGCUCUAAGAGUUCAAAUUUGCUAGGAAUUUCUGCAUCGGUUCUCUAAUUGAGUAACAUACUUCACCCCUACUACUUUAUUUUUUUGUUACAUUUUUUUUAUAUUUAUUACUUUAUUAUUUUUGGCAUAAUAUUUUAUCAAUAAUUAUAAUAUGACAAGUGCUUCUUCAUCUAGUCCAUGUGAUGAAAUAUCAUCAAACAAAAAAUUUACUUCAAAUAUAGAAAUAAUUUUAAAAAAUAAUAAAAAAGAAAUAAAAGCAAAAUGUAAAAUUUGUAAUAAAUUUCUUACUGGUGGCUCAAAUACAGGCACAAGUCAUUUAAAAAGACAUCACGAAAAUUGUAAAACUAAAAAUAAUGUAGAUAUUAGAAAUUAUAUGCAAUUAGGUAAAAAUGAAAGUAGAAAUUUAAAAACAUUUUCUUAUGAUGAAUCUAACUGUCGUGAAGAAAUGAUUGAUUAUAUAAUAAGAGCAGAACAACCUUUCAACAUGAUGGAAACUCAUGAUUUUGUAGGAACAAUUCAACGAGGUAUUAAUCCUCAAUUUAAAGGUUGGUCUGGAAAUACAGUUAAAAGAGAUAUUAUGAAAAAAAUUUAUACACAAAAAGAAAUUUAAAAUUUUUUUUUUGCAAAUUUUGAAGGAAAUAUUUGUUUAACAUCUAAUAUUUGGACAUCUUUAAUUCACACUGGUUUUUUAUGUAUAACUGCUCACUACAUUGAUAAUGAAUGGAAAUUAAAUAAAAGAAUAAUUUCAUUUAAAUUAAUAAAUGCUCCACAUAGUGGCAAAAAUAUAACAGCUUUAAUAAAUGAUGAAAUUAUAGAUUUAGACAUUCGUGAUAAAAUAUUGACAAUAACAUUAGAUAAUGCUGCUAAUAAUGAUAUAGCAAUACAUAGACUAAAACGAUAUUGGCAAGUAAAAGAAGAUCAUGCUAAAAUAUUUCAUGUGCGUUGUUGUGCACAUAUUUUAAAUUUAAUUGUAAAUGAUGGAUUAAAAAAUGUUGAUAGUACAUUGGAAAAAAUUAGAGGCAUUGCAUAUAGUAUUAAUAGUUCUCAAGCAAAACAUGAAUUAUUUUUUGAUUGUUGCAAAAUGUUAAAUAUGAAAAGAAAAAAUAUAAAUUUGGAUAUGGCCAUUAGAUGGAAUUCCACAUAUAAACUUUUACAAAAUAUUACAAAAUAUAGAAAAGUAGUCGAAUUAUAUGAAAUACAAUUAAUUAACAAUGAUUGUGAAACAGAUAUUUAUGCAUUAAAUGAUUAUGAUUGGCAUAUUGCGGAUCUUUUAAGAGAUCUUUUUGAAAUUUUUGAUACUUCAACAAACAUUUUUUGUGGUGUAUAUUAUCCAACUUCAAAUCGAGUUAUUACGCAAAUAACUAAUAUUUUUAUUGUACUUCAAAAAUAUUUAAGUUUUGAAAUAUUUAAUGAUACAAUAUUUGCAAUGAUAGAAAAAUUUAGAAAAUAUUGGGGAGAAAUACCUUUAAUUUUUUAUAUUGCUUUAAUUGUGGACCCUAGAUUGAAAUUUGAAGCUUUGGAUGAAUGGUUAACAAUUAUUUAUUUUAAUGACCAAAUAAAAAUUGAAGAAAUUAAAAAUGAAAUAAAUUCAUUAUUAUAUAAUUUAUAUAACUAUUAUAAAGAAAAAUAUGGUAAUGAUAUUAAUACUAUUAAAUUACCACCUACAAACUCCUCAUCUUUUUAUAAAGGAGCUCUAGAAAUGUUGAAAAGUCGAAAAAAGACAACAAAUAGUUCUCCAAAUAAUACAUCUGAUUUAGAUAAAUAUCUUAAUACUGAUAUAAUUUCAUUUGAAGAUCAAGAAGAUUUUGAUAUUUUAAUAUGGUGGAAAUCACAUCAACACAAAUAUCCUGUGCUUUCUAUAAUUGCUCGUGAUGUACUAACAGUUCCUGUGAGUACAGUUGCAUCAGAAGCUGCUUUUAGUGCAGGUGGAAGAGUAGUUAGUAAAAAACGAUGUAACUUAGCGCCAGAUGUUAUUGAAGCAGGGAUAUGUGUGAAAGAUUGGGAAAUAGCAGAUAAAAGGAUGUACGAUUCCAUUUGAGAAACAGAGAUGCUUGCCGAUAUGGAAUCUUUAAAAUUAUCAAGAUCUUCAUGGAUGCAUGAUAGUUCGCCAUCACCGCCAGAAAAUAAUGACUAAAUGUAUAUUAUAUUUUUAUUUUUAUUUUUUGUGGUUGAAAAAUACAGAUGAUUGACAAAUAAAUAGGUGCCAACCUAGUUGGGAUGUAUUUAUUUUGUAGUGAUGUAAACUUUUCCCACAUUUUUAAAUGUAAUUAUACAUUCAAUGAAUAAAAUUUUGAAAUGAAUAUUUUUUUACUUUUUAUUUUUGUAGUUUUUUUUUAAAGGGGCGGGCCUAAGGGCGGGCCUACGGGCCGGCCCGGCCCGCCCAUAAACGGGCUUGGGCCGGGCUUUAGCCCGUCGGGCCGAGCCGGGCCUAAAGUGGGCCGCGGGCUUUUUGGAGACCAUUAAUUACAAGCAUAUUUUAAAAAUCAUUUCUUAGAAAAAUAAAGUGUCGUUUCCAAAAACAUCCUUCAACAAUGGUUUUGAAAACAUAAUUUUUUAGAAUAAUAUUUUAAAAUUGUUUUACAAUGAUUUGUAAAACAAAAGUUUGAGAGUUUGAAAUGUUUUUGACAUAUUUUUAAUAUUUUUAAAUAUGUUUUAAAAAUAAUUUUUAUAUUUAGUACUUUAUUUAAAAAGACCGAAAUAAGAAUUAAAAAAAUGCUAUUUAAAAACAUCAUAUUUUUUAUUUUUAAGAAUAAAAAAUAGAAAAUAAAUUUUUGAUUCUCAAAGUUUUUUUUUUUUUGAGAACAUAAAACUGUUAUAAAAAAAUAAUUGUCAAAUAAGGUCUUAUUUUUUUACACUCAAGCCUCCCACCCACCUACAAUUCCAAAAAAACAUCAUUUUUUUUUUGUUUUAUUUUGACAAAAAUGUCCUCCUUAAUUUCUUGUAAAAAUAAUUAUUUCUUUUAAAACCUACAUGAAAUAUUUAAAAUAAUAAAAUACAUUUAUGUCAAUAAUGAGUUAUUUUUCAAAUAAAAAUAUAAGAAUAAUUAGAUUCAUAAAUUUGGGAUUAUUUCAUAUUUUUUAACUAAUUAAUUCUUAAAAAUAAAAAAAUCACUUAACCUUAUUUAAAUGG